GCCGUCUUAGCUCAGUUGGUAGAGCAACUCCAUGGUAAGGAGUAGGUCCUCGGUUCAAAUCCGAGAGACGGCU
rnacentral:tRNA from 1 species